rnacentral:lncRNA from 1 species
CAAGUAUUUACAAGGUGUCUAGUCAUUUCUGGUCGUUAAUGUCUAAUUGACCACACAUUAGUGCAAGUUGAAGUGUUGUCAGUGCUACACAGGUGUCUGUAGUCUAGGUGCUCGUUAUAAGUGCUUGAAAUCAUAGAUUGCCGUGUUCCAGAGCAUCAAGACUGUGAUCGAAGGGUGAAUUGUGACUGAAUUACUGAGCUACAAAUAAUAUUAAGUAGUUAUUUAUAAGUCAAGGUUACUCUACAUCACUCUCGACUCGCCUUAAAAGUCAUCUGCAAUGUGGAACGUCCAACAAUUCAUUGACACAGUUGUGACUGACUCCUUCAUAGCCGUCGGCCAGCUCUUUCACAUCCACCAUCUAAUUGAAGUGAAAGGACAGAAAUGUUGAAAGUGUGUUUUCUGCAGCACCAGUAAGGACCGUUCUCCUAUGAUGUAGUCGACCCUAUCAGAAAACAUUUACUCACUUUUUGCUUUUAUACAAAAAACAUGCCAUUUCUCCAUUUUGGUGAAAAGUGGGCCAUUAGCUAAACCACAACCUUCCUGUCCAAAGACCUUCAUGAACUAAUGAAACUAUAUCUGACAGUUUGGGGAGGAAUUCAUUCUAACGGGUGAAAAUGAACCAGGUCUUUUCUGUGUAUGUGCCGGUCUUUAAGCAUAAAUGUAAAUAUAUAAAAUAUACUAAUAAUGCAUCCAGUCUCUGGUUAUUGGUGAUACUUCCCAUUCUGCACAAUUGUGACCUUUGACCCCUUGCACGUGGUCUUAAAUGUCCACAUUCUGGAUGACAUCCUGCCAGACUUUGUUGGUAUUUCACUGUUUGAUCUAGCAUGUGACUGUUUUUCCCCCCCAGCACUUGUCCCAUGUUAGCUGGCCCACUAUGCAGUUAAAUGGAAAGGUUUUUCCCCAGCACUUGUCUCAUGUUGGCUGGCCCACUAUGCAGUUAAAUGGAAAGGUUUUUCCCCAGCACUUGUCCCAUGUUGGCUGGCCUACUAUGCAGUUAAAUGGAAAGGUUCUACAGAUGUAGACGUGUGAAUUGGGAUGAGGGGAAAUGACAAUCAAUGACAACUGAAAUAGCAAACAUUAUCUGUAUAUCGCUAUAUUUGUUCUUGUAGAUGUACUUUGAAUAUGUUUAAUAUGUGG